AAAAAAAAAAAAAAAAAAAAAAAAACUGUCCUUCAUUGUCAAUUCCAGUGCUGACAAGUAAGGACUCGACGAUGAGGUGGAUCGCUUUGACUUUCUUGUUGUUGUCAUCCUUGAUGGUGGCGACAGAAGCGCGGCUCCCAGCCAAAAUACCGCCUACAUUUCCUACACGCGGGCCUACAAUCAAACCGAUCCCAUGCAACUUCCCGUUCCCACCGUGUCCUCAUCAUCUUGCAACCAUCGAGAAGAUCAAUAAGCGCGUGUAAGGAGGACUCCGGAAGGCCCUGCAAGUCUUCAGGAUGGUUUUACUUGUCGCACACGUCCUUGGACUCUCUUAAGUGAUUUUCUUCAAGGUUUUUUUUAUUGUCUACGUACAUUAGUAGCUUUUCCUUCUGUCAAUAAAAGUUAUCAGGCGUUCUAUUCGCAUCUUGUACAAGUUAUUGAGAUUUCCUUAUCGCCAGUGGAAGCUAUCAAUUGUUUUCUUCGUGUAAACAUAAGUUAGCAAGGUUCCAUUAGUGCCUCUGCAAUUCAUUGUUUUUUGUUUGUUUACACUAGUUAUCAGGGCUUGCCUAAUGUUUGUCCAAAUCAUUGUCUUACAUGCUUGACUUAGAGUUCUCCAUUUGAUUCGGCUAUCUGCUGUAAUGCUAAAAAUAAAUUGUUACAAUUGUU